rnacentral:rRNA from 1 species
UUAAAUUGAAGAGUUUGAUCAUGGCUCAGAUUGAACGCUGGCGGCAGGCCUAACACAUGCAAGUCGAGCGGUAGCACAGAGAGCUUGCUCUCGGGUGACGAGCGGCGGACGGGUGAGUAAUGUCUGGGAAACUGCCUGAUGGAGGGGGAUAACUACUGGAAACGGUA